rnacentral:lncRNA from 1 species
GCAGGCAGCCUAACGUGGGACUUGAUCCCGGGUCUCCAGGAUCACGCCUUGGGCUGAAGGCGGCGCUAAACCGCUGAGCCACGGGCUGCCCAGAGGCUGUAUUUUCAGACACACCGAGGAAACCCACGUCCACUGGAGAGGAUAAAAGCCAUGUGGAGGAAUCUUGGUUUGAAGACAUUGACCCAGGAGAGAGAAGUCCUUGGUAUCGCUUUUGGAGACACCUUGUGGACAAUCUGUCAAGAAUUCUAUGAUACAUAGCUAAAUACAUUGAGGGCCCAUAAAUUGUCAGACCUUGUGCCCAUCUCAGAAAAGCAAAGAUAAAGAAGAUUGGAAUUUUCUUUUCUUUUUAUUAUCCAACAGAUGGUAGAGUAUAGCAUAGGGAUUUGGUUCAAGGCAGGAAGUGUCAGAAGACCUGGAUUUGGCUCCUGCCUUUGUUAGGUGUCAAGUUUUCGAAGGACAAAAAAAAAAAAAGGCUUAUCUUCUUUUGAGGAGUCUGAAGAAAUGUUUACUAUCAAGGAUAGAGGUGAGUAGUAUAUCUCUUUUAUGGGACUUGGGGUUCUCUCAAAAAACCCAAGGUGCAGGGCUCUUGGGGAGCCCAGGAUGGCUAGUGCCUUUCCAGAUGCAUGCUGGUGGGUAGUGUUUCUCCCAGGUCAUGGAGCAUGGCCUGAAAGGGACUUUACAUUUCCUGAUGGUUAUACCCAGGUUGGUAUGGAACUGGAGUAGAAUUGGAAUCCAUGUUCUAAGAGAAAGGCGUCUCACAUUGAGCUGGGCUUUUCAACUUCUUAGAUCCCUUCUCCUCUUACAAAUCACAUUUACUAUCUUUACUGACCUCAGAGAUGCUUGUUUUUUCUUUUCAUCCAGCCUGAAGUCAUCUUGCUGGAUAGAAUUUUGCUUUUUAGGGGAGGGAGUGUGUAGAGUCUUUUCUAUAUUACACAAGGAGAAAGGAACAGUCAAUAUUAGAAGAUCAUACCUCUUCCUGCUUUGUUACAU